rnacentral:misc_RNA from 1 species
AGUUAAUUAUUCAUAUAUAUAUAUAUGAGAUCGAUAUUCUAAUAAUAAACAUAAAAUUUGUUAAAUUGUCUAUCCUAUUAGAAAAUUACAUCUUGAAGAUAUACAUAUAUAUGUGUGUACUACAUUACUAAAUCAUACAUAGACCAAGCGAAACAUAACCAAAACAAUGCAAAUGAUACACAAAAUGCAACCUCAGCAAGGGCAAGCAGCCACGCGACCGGCACAUUCCACUGGUGCUUGAAAGAAUGUACAUGUUACAGGUGGUCGUAUUUUGCUGAUGCUGCGUCUGCGUUCUUUCCAUGACCUUCGUUACUGAUACCAGUGGAAUGUGCCGGUCGCGUGGCUGCUUGGCCUUGCUGAGGUUGCAUUUUGUGUAUCAUUUGCAUUGUUUUGGUUAUGUUUCGCUUGGUCUAUGUAUACGAGUUGAUACUUGCGUUGUUUGUGUAUUGCGGUUAUCUAUGUUUUCGUUGCGGCACGUGCGGAGCGUGGGACGUGACAAUAUCUCUAUCCCGUUUGAGAUAAUUUCACGUUUAAACGCUCUUUUCAUUCCAUUUUACAUGCAAAACGUAGUGCACGCGUUUUCCAGCGUCGAAACAAGCCCACACACACGCAAAUCGCAAUCAUUCGUCGAUUUUAACGAAAAUUAAUCGUAAUUUCUUUCCCGUUUGAGAUAUUUCGACGUUUCAACGCUAUUUUCACUGCAUUAUGCGUGCAGAACGUAGUGCACGCGUUUUCCAGCGUCGAAACA